GGGCUCUUACGGAAGAAAGCAAUGAAUUUUCCAGAAUACCGGUGUACUGCUCGGCAUUCAUACCUUGACUAAUUCCCCUGGUCCAGCGGCCAAAAUCUACCCCCAAUACGCUGCAGUUACGCACCCGCUGUGGUGACCUGCUAUCACAUUUUGUGGAUGGUAGCGUUCCCCAUCUUCCCUCCACACGUCCAAUCGCCCAUCUGUUUCUGAGGAAAAGUCGUUCUCGUCAGUGAACAUCAUCGGACUCCACUCUUUCUCGGUAAUCCCCACGAUUUAAUACAAGCAACAUACAUUGUUUUGCACCUCCUAUCGGAUUUAAUGGUUCCAAGCUUUAUUCUCCACUUACAUGUUUCUUCUGUGUCUAUCAAGGAUGGAUUUAUAUAGCCUAAGAAGACUUAUCCAGAAUCGACGUGAG
rnacentral:misc_RNA from 1 species